GGCUCGAGCCACCAUGCCUUGCUCUCUGUUUUGGGUAUGGAAUCAUCUUAACAGUAAUAGAUUUUAACCAUUUGAAUUUUUAUAGUCUUGAAGUUAUAUUAUUAAGUCUUGUGCUUAUUUGGUUGCUAAUGGGACAGACACUUGGUGUUUUGUUUGACUCAUGUCUUCAGUGUAGAAUUUUUCUCCUUAGGACUUUAGAUCUUUGUAGUUCAGACUCUUGUUUUUGUUUGGCAUUUGUUUUUGGGUUGUGGGGUUUUUUGUUUGUUUGUUUUUUGGGUUUUUUGUUUGUUUGUUUGUUUUUCCACUUUUAAAAAAAUGUCUGGCU
rnacentral:lncRNA from 1 species